rnacentral:lncRNA from 1 species
UGCGCGAGUGUACGGGAUUUAUGACAACCGGCGACUUGAUUUAAUUUAGUGGCAUUUUGAGGGACAAAAGUUGUAAAAAUAAUAUGGAUGUUACGCGACCGCCCAGCAGCACUGACCGCGCGACUUCCUGUUGAUGGCGAUGUACAUGCGUGCACUGGCGCUCAUGAAUGUCCACCAGCUAGGACAAUACUCAAGUAUAUGAGCUGUGCUUAAACUAAAGUUACUCGAAGUAUAUAACGGCAAUUAAUGGUUUUCGAAGGGCUGGCGCUCCUCUUCGUCGGCUACGUGACCGGCACGGAGAUCGAGAUCCGGCGAGGUACGGCGUCGGCUGGCCGCCCCAGCAGCACUGACUGGACACGUGACCCAUUGCACACCGCCAUGCUCCCCGACAGAUCGUUGCCUUCUCCUUCAGUUUCCAAUUCACUUAGGGGAGUGUCUAAUUAGCAGCUAAGCUGAUUUUCAUUUCGGUAACAGUCAGUUUUUCGGCCAUACAAAAAGGUACACGUGUCAGCUUGAUAUCGGUGACGAUCGCGCCUCACUGGCCAGCCAAUAUAUAUAUUGCUACAGGCUUUCCGCUUUCGAGUCUUACUGGGUUUCGGUUUUAUUUUCCUAUUCCCUUUCCGUUUUCCUUUACCUUUUUUUUUUCUUUUUCUUUCUGGACCUCCUAGACUGAAGCCUGCGACGAAACGCUGCUGGGCUUCUCCGGCGAGUCUCUCUGCUCACUAAUCAUGCUAGCCCGUUAGAAAAAGACUAAUCAUGCUAGAGAGGAAAAGGUCCUUUAAAAAAGUCGGCGAUCAAAAGGAGGAAUGAUAAUUACUUCAUUAAACUUGAAGUAAAAAAAUCAACGGUCAAUCUAACGCGCAGACGUGUCCACCGUUGUCAUAACCUGCGGCGCUUCUAUGAGAUUCGGGCACACCUAUCGAGCAGGCAGCCAGCAGCGCGUGUCGCUUUUCCCCCGGGGCAG